rnacentral:rRNA from 1 species
UACGUAGGGUGCGAGCGUUGUCCGGAAUUACUGGGCGUAAAGAGCUCGUAGGUGGUUUGCCGCGUUGUUCGUGAAAACUCACAGCUUAACUGUGGGCGUGCGGGCGAUACGGGCAGACUGGAGUACUGCAGGGGAGACUGGAAUUCCUGGUGUAGCGGUGGAAUGCGCAGAUAUCAGGAGGAACACCGGUGGCGAAGGCGGGUCUCUGGGCAGUAACUGACGCUGAGGAGCGAAAGCGUGGGGAGCGAACAGG